CAGUCGAGCGGUAGAGAGAAGCUUGCUUCUCUUGAGAGCGGCGGACGGGUGAGUAAUGCCUAGGAAUCUGCCUGGUAGUGGGGGAUAACGUUCGGAAACGGACGCUAAUACCGCAUACGUCCUACGGGAGAAAGCAGGGGACCUUCGGGCCUUGCGCUAUCGGAUGAGCCUAGGUCGGAUUAGCUAGUUGGUGGGGUAAUGGCUCACCAAGGCGACGAUCCGUAACUGGUCUGAGAGGAUGAUCAGUCACACUGGAACUGAGACACGGUCCAGACUCCUACGGGAGGCAGCAGUGGGGAAUAUUGGACAAUGGGCGAAAGCCUGAUCCAGCCAUGCCGCGUGUGUGAAGAAGGUCUUCGGAUUGUAAAGCACUUUAAGUUGGGAGGAAGGGCAGUAAAUUAAUACUUUGCUGUUUUGACGUUACCGACAGAAUAAGCACCGGCUAACUCUGUGCCAGCAGCCGCGGUAAUACAGAGGGUGCAAGCGUUAAUCGGAAUUACUGGGCGUAAAGCGCGCGUAGGUGGUUAGUUAAGUUGGAUGUGAAAUCCCCGGGCUCAACCUGGGAACUGCAUUCAAGACUGUCGAGCUAGAGUAUGGUAGAGGGUGGUGGAAUUUCCUGUGUAGCGGUGAAAUGCGUAGAUAUAGGAAGGAACACCAGUGGCGAAGGCGACCACCUGGACUGAUACUGACACUGAGGUGCGAAAGCGUGGGGAGCAAAC
rnacentral:rRNA from 1 species